rnacentral:rRNA from 1 species
UACGUAGGGGGCAAGCGUUGUCCGGAAUCAUUGGGCGUAAAGAGCUCGUAGGCGGUUCAGUAAGUCGGGUGUGAAAGCUCCGAGCUCAACUCGGAGAGGCCACUCGAUACUGCUGUGACUAGAAUCCAGUAGGGGAGUGUGGAACUCCUGGUGUAGCGGUGAAAUGCGCAGAUAUCAGGAAGAACACCAGCGGCGAAGGCGGCACUCUGGGCUGGUAUUGACGCUGAGGAGCGAAAGUGUGGGUAGCAAACAGG